UCCCUGGUAGUCCAGUGGUUAGGACUCAGCUCUCUCACUGCUGUGGCCCGGGUUCAACCCCUGGUUAGGGAA